rnacentral:rRNA from 1 species
UUAGAGGAAGUAAAAGUCGUAACAAGGUUUCCGUAGGUGAACCUGCGGAAGGAUCAUUAUCGUAUACAUGAGGCGUCAGGGCUGUCGCUGACUUUAACGAGUCGUGCACGCCUGAAGCGCUCUCUCACAUCCAUCUCACCCUUGUGCACCAUCGCGUGGGUUCCCUUUCGAGGGGGCUCGCGUCUUUUACACACACCCUUUAGUUUGUUUAGAAUGUCUUUUCUUGCAAUGUCUCGCAAUCAAUACAACUUUCAACAACGGAUCUCUUGGCUCUCGCAUCGAUGAAGAACGCAGCGAAAUGCGAUACGUAAUGUGAAUUGCAGAAUUCAGUGAAUCAUCGAAUCUUUGAACGCAUCUAGCGCCCCUUGGCAUUCCGAGGGGCACACCCGUUUGAGUGUCGUGAAACCCUCAAAAGCCCUUUUCUUGAGAAUGGCUUUUGGAUAUUGGGGGCUUUAUGCUGGCUUCUAGUCAGCUCCUCCUAAAUGAAUUCAUGGGGUCCGCUUUGCAGAUCCUGGACGUGAUAAGAUGUUUCUGCGUCCUAGGUCUUAGCUUUGCUUUGCCCCUGAACUGCCGAAAGGCAAAUUUGAACCCUUGACCUCAAAUCGGGUGAGACUACCCGCUGAACUUAAGCAUAUCAAUAAGCGGGAGGA